CCGAGUUAGGGUCCUCAAAGGCCCGAUCUCCCAACCCUUUGCUUAUUAUACCUUGUGUUGCUUCGGUAGGUCUGGCUCGUCCUACCGGAGGACCGUAAAACGUCCUCUGGAGAGUGCCUACCGAUAGCCCAAACCAGAAACUCUUGAACAAAACAUGUCUUGUCUGAGUAAACAAAAAAUUAAAGCA
rnacentral:misc_RNA from 1 species